GAUGAACGCUGGCGGCGUGCCUAAUACAUGCCAGUCGAGCGAACAGACGAGGAGCUUGCUCCUCUGACGUUAGCGGCGGACGGGUGAGUAACACGUGGAUAACCUACCUAUAAGACUGGGAUAACUUCGGGAAACCGGAGCUAAUACCGGAUAAUAUAUUGAACCGCAUGGUUCAAUGGUGAAAGACGGUUUUGCUGUCACUUAUAGAUGGAUCCGCGCCGCAUUAGCUAGUUGGUAAGGUAACGGCUUACCAAGGCAACGAUGCGUAGCCGACCUGAGAGGGUGAUCGGCCACACUGGAACUGAGACACGGUCCAGACUCCUACGGGAGGCAGCAGUAGGGAAUCUUCCGCAAUGGGUGAAAGCCUGACGGAGCAACGCCGCGUGAGUGAUGAAGGUCUUCGGAUCGUAAAACUCUGUUAUUAGGGAAGAACAAAUGUGUAAGUAACUAUGCACGUCUUGACGGUACCUAAUCAGAAAGCCACGGCUAACUACGUG
rnacentral:rRNA from 1 species